AGAUCUGUCCUACGGGGGCAGCAGUGAGGAAUAUUGGUCAAUGGGCGGGAGCCUGAACCAGCCAAGCCGCGUGAGGGAAGAAGGUACAGCGUAUCGUAAACCUCUUUUGUCAGGGAACAAAGGCGGGGACUAGUCCCCGGAUGAGGGUACCUGAAGAAAAAGCAUCGGCUAACUCCGUGCC
rnacentral:rRNA from 1 species